UGCACGGCGUACAGAGCCGACAGAGCUGCAGACGACGAGGAAGGAUGAACGUGCCGAAUUUCAAGCGUUCUUUGAUAGCGUGAAAUCAUUUUGAUUAGGCGACAAAAGCCGGACGCACCAUGAUAAGGAUAAGGUUACCCCGUGGGCUGUCUAAAAGCCAGGUAACGUUGGCGAUCUUUCUGGGCUUGGGCUGCAGCUUAUACACCUGGUAUCCACUGCUACAGUACAAGCGUGCGAAAGUUAUUGCCGAAAAGCAGACUGCUGCACCACAGGAUGAGUCGCCGUUGGACAACACGUGACCGUAAUGACCAGGUCGGAAAGCUGUCGGAGCUGAUCAACAUCUUCUCGUGUUCCUAGACGUAGCGUUACAUCAAGCAAAGUGAAAAAAAAAAAAAUUGC
rnacentral:lncRNA from 1 species